rnacentral:rRNA from 1 species
AUUGAACGCUGGCGGCAUGCCUUACACAUGCAAGUCGAACGGCAGCACGGGGGCAACCCUGGUGGCGAGUGGCGAACGGGUGAGUAAUGCAUCGGAACGUGCCCAGUUGUGGGGGAUAACCCGGCGAAAGCCGGGCUAAUACCGCAUACGACCUACGGGUGAAAGCGGGGGAUCGCAAGACCUUGCGCGAUUGGAGCGGCCGAUGUGUGAUUAGCUAGUUGGCGGGGUAAGAGCCCACCAAGGCGACGAUCAGUAGCUGGUCUGAGAGGACGACCAGCCACACGGGGACUGAGACACGGCCCAGACUCCUACGGGAGGCAGCAGUGGGGAAUUUUGGACAAUGGGCGAAAGCCUGAUCCAGCCAUGCCGCGUGCGGGAAGAAGGCCUUCGGGUUGUAAACCGCUUUUGGCAGGAACGAAACGGCGCGAGUGAAUAACUCGCGUUAAUGACGGUACCUGCAGAAUAAGCACCGGCUAACUACGUGCCAGCAGCCGCCGUAACAC